AGCAUCUCAAACUCCUUUUUCCUUCAUUUUUCUCCAUCAAAACCCUAGCCCCCAUUCUUAUUUCUCUCUCACAACACUAAGAUCUGCAAGUCUAGAGAGAGAGAGGGAGUGAAAGCCGUGAGAGAGAGAGGAUCGAGAUAGAGAGAUAGACGUGUGAGAGAUGUGGCAGCCGCACGCGGGGGUGCCAGACCACAGAAGCGACGGCUGCAGGUUGGGCGACAGGGAGUUGUUUUAGAUCUGGUUCGGUGAUGGUUCAGGGGUUUGGCGGUGAUUGACGGUGGAAACGAUGGUUACAGGGUGGUGGAAUGCAGCGGUUAAUGAUGGCGGAGAAACCACAGACAACAAGGGGCAGAGGUGACACGGUUAGGGUUCCUCCUAAUCCUAUGGUGGCAGCGAUGUGGCGGCUCAGCCGUCUCCUGACGGUGGUGACAUUUUCAAGCAACGACAAUACAGAUCUAAAGCCGGCUAGGGCAUGAAACGGAUUCCGGUGAUUCGAGUGUGGUAUUCCAGUAACCAUGGUGGUUGACGGCAGGUUUUGGUGGUUCUUUCCGGUGGCAGCGGCUCGGGUUUAAGUGCACCUCUUGCAGCGAUGAAGUUGAUCCGGAAUGGGAUUCAUCACAAACCACAAUUGGUCAUGUGGAUGGAAAUAGUGACCUAGCUCAUAGUGUGCUUGAGGAUUUCAUUAUACUUAAUCAACAAUCUGAAUUUUCAACUGAUUUAGAAUGCAUUGGUGCAUCCAUCGCAUGACCCUAUCCAUUCAUCUCGGUAGUCCAUGAGGCUUGAGGACGCAUGAUGACUCAAGAUUUUAUGCUUCUUAUUUCUUUAAUUGCUUUUAAUUUCUUUGUUAAAUCUUAAGACUUUAUGUUAGAUAAUGUUAUAACUUAUUUAUGGUUAGUGUUUUUGUUAUAAACAUGCUUAUUUGAAAUAUAAUAAAGUUUUAUUUCUUUC